UUAAAGUCUAAUCUGCCCUAUGAGGAWUUAAAUGGCCGCGGUAUUUUGACCGUGCAAAGGUAGCAUAAUAAUUAGUUUUUUAAUUGAAAGCUGGAAUGAAUGAUUGGACGAGAAAAUAGCUGUCUCARUUUAAUUUUAUUAGAAUUUUAUUUUUAAGUWAAAAAGCUUAAAUUAUUUUAAAAGACGAGAAGACCCUAUAGAGUUUAAUAAUUAAUUAUUUAUUGAUUUUUUAGAAUUAUUUUACUAUUAUYUAAUUAAUUAUUUUGUUGGGGCGAUAGAAAAAUAWGAUGAACUUUUUUUWAWUUWARACAUUAAUUUAUGAUUUWUUGAUCCAUUUUUUAUGAUUAUAAGAUUAAGUUACCUUAGGGAUAACAGCGUAAUUUUUUUUUAGAGUUCUUAUCGAAAAAAAAGAUUGCGACCUCGAUGUUGGAUUAAAAUUAAUACUWGGUGUAGAAGCUUAACUAUUGGGUCUGUUCGACCUUUGAAAUUUUACA
rnacentral:rRNA from 1 species